GUUAGGAAUAUUGGACAAUGGGCGAAAGCCUGAUCCAGCCAUGCCGCGUGAACGAUGAGGGCCUUCGGGUUGUAAAGUUCUUUAGCCGAUGAUUAUAAUGACUGUAGUCGGAAAAUAAGCCCCGGCUAACUUCGUGCCAGCAGCCGCGGUAAUACGAAGGGGGCGAGCGUUAUUCGGAAUCACUGGGCGUAAAGCGUGCGUAGGCGGUUUUGUAAGUUAGGAGUGAAAGCCCAGGGCUCAACCUUGGAAUUGCUCUUAAAACUGCAAGGCUCGAAUCUCGGAGAGGAUAGCGGAAUUUCCAGUGUAGCAGUGAAAUGCGUAGAUAUUGGAAGGAACACCAGUGGCGUAAGCGGCUAUCUGGACGAGUAUUGACGCUGAGGCACGAAAGCGUGGGGAUCAAACAGGAUUAGAUACCCCUGUAGUCC
rnacentral:rRNA from 1 species